GACCUUCUUCCUUUGUCAUGCAUGUUGCCCCACAGAUCUUUAAAAGGAAGCAGAACAUUUUCCUCUCCACGUGACAAAGUCUUUCAUCAAGAGAUCCAUUAGCUAGCAGGCGUCUGUCUCACAGCAUCACCUAUUCAUUACUGAAGAAAGGCACAAGAUGUCCUACCACGUAGUUGGGAUGAUUCUAGUCUAUCUGCGGAGUAAGUAUUUUAGCCUGAUUUAUUUCAUGCUUGUUCUCUACCAGGCUACAAACAAUUAACUUUAUACAUAACAUCCUUCUGCAAUUCCAAGAGAUUCUAACAUCAACCUGGUGAGAGAGAAAUUCACAUCUUUUAGUCCAUCAAUUGAAAUCUAAAGAAAGUGGCUGCCUCGGAAGAAGGGAUACAAAUCCAGCAAAGCCCAGCACAGCUGUGGCUGACUUCUGGACAGACUGCGCAUCUGGACUGUAGAAUAUCAGAAGAAGAAUGGCGAGUUCGGUGGUACAAGGAACAACAGAAUGGAAGUUUACAUGGGAUUCAUCAGAGUUCUGAGUCUGAAUCUUUAGAUGGAAAAUACUCGAGUAAAGUGAACAUUACGGCAAACAUGUUUGCUCUACUUAUCAGUAACGUACAAAGAGAAGACUCGGGGGUUUAUUACUGUGGCCUCUCUGCCUCUGUGUAUCUACAGCCCAACUUCGGGACUGGGACCAGACUAAUUGUCACAGAUGGCUCCGAGCCGAGACUUUCCAUCCUGGUGCCCUCCACACAAGAGGAUGCUGAGCUUCCCCCCAUCAUUCCUCUGCUCUGCCUGCUCUCAGAUUUCACUCCUCCCUGGAGUGAAGUUCUCUGGGACACUGGUGAGGAGGCAUCUGAGGGUCAGACAGAUGCUGGAGCCAUAGACGGAAAAGGGGUCUUUAGUGUUUGGAGCCUAACGACAAUCCCUUCUGAGACGUGGAAGCAGGAGACGAUUUGCACUUGUACAGCCAAAGAGAGCAGCGAGGGGAGAAGCAUCAGUGCUACAGUCUCCAAGGAAACAGGAAACUGUAUGAUUGUGUUCUAUGCUGGGCUGCCCUGUAUCUUUAUCCUUCUCCUGAUACAGCUGUUGAUCUUGCUCUGGAGAAAGUGCCCCAUCAGAGGUAACUCAGUCAUAACUGCUAUAAAGCAGAAACCCAUCACACAUCUCUAUAACUGUCUCUUUGUCUGUUUCAUCCAUCAGGGAGAGCUGUGCAAAGAGGGAAUCAAAUACCUAUGAGGCAGAUGCCACAGACUGAAUAUGCGACUCUGAUGUACAGUAACAGAAAUGCUCCCCGGUAACUAAGUCUCACAAAAAUGGCUUAUGUUUUUUAAAACAGGAGAUGCAGAAAGAAAGAACGAAAGAGAAAG